UAGAAUCAUUUUAUCAAGUACCAAAGAUUCCAUUAGAGCUGUGAUUGAAUGUUGUAAAAGCGAGAAAUUAAUUUGGUUCCUCACAUUUUGCAGGAAGGUGGCCAGCUAAGCAUUUUAUAGCAGCAUUAUUGUUACCAUUGUGAAUGAGAAAAAACUAAUCACAGUACCAAAGGCUUAUUGUGUGCAGGAUAAACACUGUAUAAUAGAGCUGACAAGGAAGAGAAUGCAAAUCGGCACAGAUUAUUUUGCCUCAGUAACUCUGCCACUUUGGUAGCUGCGGGACAGCCUUGAUUGCACAGAAGCAAUUUGGAGCAGUAGGAGGGUCAAACGGGCCUUUAUUUUGGUGUGGAAGUCUAGCUGGCUGGGCAGGCACAGAGCUCAUAUAGGCAGCCCCACAGUACCUGCUGUUUUUAGAAGUCACAGGAAAGUGCUGUCGGAAAGGCGGGGAGCAUGGUGGUACAGAAUUACUGGGAACUGUUCAGCAUCAUGCUUGCUGUAGAGCUGAGGCCAUUCUGAAUGACAAAACAAAGGCAUCACAGACAAAUGAAAUUCAGCCAUGUGAAGUUAUUUUAAGAUAUUCCUCUCUCCCUCUUACCCAUGGAUGGGUUAGUUAACAACCAACAGAGCAGCCACCAGCUUAACAUCAGGAGGAAGACGCCAGGAGCACAGAUGGUCCACAGCCCAGAUAAUUAGCUUCUGAAGAAGAAACAACAUCUAGUAAGUCUUCUCCGAAUGGAGAGUUUGGUUGGGCACAGCUGGGGCAGAGAACAAGCUGGCCUCCUCAAAAUUCUUUUUUACUUCUUAAAAUGUCGGCGGAGCAUUCACCCACUUCCUGUGGACAACCAUCUACUCAUAAGACCUGCAGGGAAGAAUUCCAAAUAAAUAUUGUUGACACUCCACCCUAAAGGAGGGUAAGCAUAACUCCCUACUCCUUAAGUGUGGGAUGCACAUGGUUGAGCACAGGAUGGAAGGGCGUGGGGAGAGUAUAAUUUUACAAUGGAGGAACCUGAUAAACACUGCUUUUGCCAGGUGAUAAAGGUCAACAUCAACAGUCAUAAAUUGUGUUGAUAGUAUGUACUAUUGAUAUGAUAGUAUGAAAAUGACACUUUGUGAUCUUCCUCCCCAAACCCAUAAUCCCAGUCUAAUCAUGAGAAAACAAUCAGACAAAUUCCAGUAGUGGGGCAUCCUAUAGUAUGCCUGACCAUUUGUUCUCAAAACUAUCAAGGCCACGAAA